rnacentral:rRNA from 1 species
CUAAAAAUCUAGCCCCCCCCCCCAAAUAACCCACAUAUAACCAAUAAUAAACUAAAAUAUUUUACCAUUUAAGUAAAGAUGAUUAAAAACCUAACAAGAGCUAUACCAAAGUACCGCAAGGGAAAGAUGAAAUAAAAUGAAAUACCCUUAAGCACUAUAAAGUAAAGACUACAACUUGUACCUUUUGCAUCAUGGUUUAACUAGUUUACCCAAGCAAAAAGACUUUUAGUUUGACCCCCCGAAACUGAGCGAGCUACCUCAGGGCAGCUUACCGAGCAAACCCGUCCCUGUUGCAGAAGGGUGGGAAGACCCUGUAGUAGAGGUGAUAAGCCUAUCGAGCUUAGUGAUAGCUGGUUACUCAAGAAAAGAAUCUUAGUCCAACCUAAAGCUUUUCUUUUUCACCCACAAGAAAUUCUACUUUAGAGCAAUUCAAAUAAGGUACAGCUUAUUUGAUACAGGACACAACCUUACACAACGGCUAAUAUGCACUACCAUUAAACUAAGUAGGCUUAAGAGCAGCCAUCUUAAAAGAGCGUCAAAGCCUAAUUUCUACUACACCUAAUUCCACAGCCUAUGCAGAACCCUUCAUCAAUAUUGAGUAAUUCUAUAUGCCCUAUAGAAAUUUUUAUGUUAAAACUAGUAACAAGAAGACACUUCUCUUUUAAUGCAAACAUAAAUCAAACUGGAUAAUCCACUGAUAACCAUACACUAUAGCAGAAAAAUUUCCCUACCACGAAAACCCUGCCCUCUUAACUGUUAAACUGACACAAGAGCAUUUCAAGAAAGAUUAAAAGAAAAAGAAGGAACUCGGCAAAUAUUGAUUCCGCCUGUUUACCAAAAACAUCGCCUCUUGAAUAAAUAUAAGAGGUCCAGCCUGCCCAGUGACAUCAGUUCAACGGCCGCGGUAUUCUGACCGUGCGAAGGUAGCGUAAUCACUCGUCUUUUAAAUAAGGACUAGUAUGAAAGGCAUCACGAGAAUCAAACUGUCUCCUUUUUCUGAUCUGUGAAACUAAUCUCCCCGUGAAAAAGCGGGAAUUGUUAUAUAAGACGAGAAGACCCUAUGGAGCUUUAGACAAAGCAAUAAGUGCUCUAUUUUCUUAUUCCAAGAAAAACUAAUCAGCACAUUAUAUCUUAGUCUUCGGUUGGGGCGACCAUGGAGUAAAACCCACCCUCCACGCUGAAUAAGACCUCCUUAAACAGAGAGCAACAGCUCUAUGCAUCAAUAAAUUGACAACACUUGACCCAAUAUUUGAUCAACGAAACAAGUUACCCUAGGGAUAACAGCGCAAUCCACUUCAAGAGCCCUUAUUGACAAGUGGGUUUACGACCUCGAUGUUGGAUCAGGGUACCCCAGUGGUGUAACCGCUACUAAAGGUUUGUUUGUUCAACAAUUAAAACCCUACGUGAUCUGAGUUCAGACCGGAGUAAUCCAGGUCAGUUUCUAUCUAUAAAGAGCUUUUUCUAGUACGAAAGGACCGUAAUAGCACGACCCCUGCAACCUGUAAGUCGUAUCAAUAAAUUUAUGAUAUUUCUUAAUAAACUACUGAUCUCCCUUCUAAUUCAAAAAAAGAAUA